UAGGGAAGUCUUCCACAAUGGGCGGAAAGACCUGAUGGAGCAACGCCGCGUGUGUGAUGAAGGGUUUCGGCUCGUAAAACACUGUUGUAAGAGAAGGAUGACAUUGAGAGUAACUGUUCAAUGUGUGACGGUAUCUUACCAGAAAGGAACGGCUAAAUACGUGCCAG
rnacentral:rRNA from 1 species